GGUGGGGUUCCCGAGCGGCCAAAGGGGGCAGACUGUAAAUCUGCUGACGAUGUCUUCGAUGGUUCGAAUCCAUCCCCCACCA
rnacentral:tRNA from 1 species